CUAGUUUCAGAUUGUUCGAGUGUCAAAAGCAUUGUUUUCUUCAUUUUGUUGAUAGAUCUGGGGGUUCUGUUGGGAAAUGGAAGAUAUCCUUAAAAAAACAGCACCACCUACAAUAAUAACGUGCAACAUCUCUUCCUGGAAUGCAUUCUGUCAUUGUUCUCCUAGUGGAUGUCAGGAUCUUCCUGUUCAAGAAGCAGCUCCAGGCAUAUCAUUUACUAAGAGACAAAGUGAAGAAGAGGAAAGAAGGGGAAUAAAAAAAGGUAAAACUAUGUCUAAAUAAGUGAAAUUCAUUCCAUGAUUUUAAUUGAAAUUAGGAUGUUGUUCUCAUAAUACAUUUUCCUAAUUUGAAAUGAUCAUUUACCCAUUAGUACUAUUCAUAAUAUUUACUUCUGAAGCAAUAAAUCAAGUUAGGUUGAAAUUUAAUUGCUUUAA
rnacentral:lncRNA from 1 species